GGUUAAGCGAAUAAGCGUACACGGUGGAUGCCUAGGCAAUCAGAGGCGAUGAAGGACGUGCUAAUCUGCGAUAAGCGUCGGUAAGGUGAUAUGAACCGUUAUACCCGACGAUUUCCGAAUGGGGAAACCCAAUAUCCAAUGGAUAUUAUCAUUAACUGAAUACAUAGGUUAAUGAAGCGAACCGGGAGAACUGAAACAUCUCAGUACCCCGAGGAAAAGAAAUCAACCGAGAUUCCCCUAGUAGCGGCGAGCGAACGGGGAACAGCCCAGAGUCUUAAUCAAUAGCAGCAUCAGGAGAACGGUCUGGAAAGUCCGGCAGUAAAGGGUGAUAGCCCCGUAUCCGAAGAUGCUGUUAUUGUGAACUCGACGAGUAGGGCGGGACACGUGUUAUCCUGUCUGAAUAUGGGGGGACCAUCCUCCAAGGCUAAAUACUCCUGAUUGACCGAUAGUGAACCAGUACCGUGAGGGAAAGGCGAAAAGAACCCCGGCGAGGGGAGUGAAAAAGAACCUGAAACCGUGUACGUACAAGCAGUAGGAGCCUCUUUAUGGGGUGACUGCGUACCUUUUGUAUAAUGGGUCAGCGACUUAUAUUCUGUAGCAAGGUUAACCGUAUAGGGGAGCCGUAGGGAAACCGAGUCUUAACUGGGCGAAUGAGUUGCAGGGUAUAGACCCGAAACCCGGUGAUCUAUCCAUGGGCAGGUUGAAGGUUGGGUAACACUAACUGGAGGACCGAACCGACUAAUGUUGAAAAAUUAGCGGAUGACUUGUGGAUGGGGGUGAAAGGCCAAUCAAACCGGGAGAUAGCUGGUUCUCCCCGAAAGCUAUUUAGGUAGCGCCUCGUGAACUCAUCUUCGGGGGUAGAGCACUGUUUCGACUAGGGGGUCAUCCCGACUUACCAACUCGAUGCAAACUGCGAAUACCGAAGAAUGUUAUCACGGGAGACACACGGCGGGUGCUAACGUCCGUCGUGAAGAGGGAAACAACCCAGACCGCCAGCUAAGGUCCCAAAGUCAUGGUUAAGUGGGAAACGAAGUGGGAAGGCUCAGACAGCCAGGAUGUUGGCUUAGAAGCAGCCAUCAUUUAAAGAAAGCGUAAUAGCUCACUGGUCGAGUCGGCCCGCGCGGAAGAUGUAACGGGGCUAAACCAUGCACCGAAGCUGCGGCAGCAACACUAAGUGUUGUUGGGUAGGGGAGCGUUCUGUAAGCCUGCGAAGGUGUACUGUGAGGUAUGCUGGAGGUAUCAGAAGUGCGAAUGCUGACAUAAGUAACGAUAAUGCGGGUGAAAAACCCGCACGCCGGAAGACCAAGGGUUCCUGUCCAACGUUAAUCGGGGCAGGGUGAGUCGACCCCUAAGGCGAGGCUGAAAAGCGUAGUCGAUGGGAAACGGGUUAAUAUUCCCGUACUGGUGGUAACUGCGAUGGGGGAACGGAGAAGGCUAGGUUGUCCGGGCGACGGUCGUCCCGGUUCAAGCAUGUAGGCAGAGUGAUUAGGCAAAUCCGGUCACUUAAUGCUGAGGUGUGAUGACGAACCACUAAGGUGGUGAAGCAAUUGAUGCCCUGCUUCCAGGAAAAGCCUCUAAGCUUCAGGUUACCAACAAUCGUACCCCAAACCGACACAGGUGGUCAGGUAGAGAAUACUCAGGCGCUUGAGAGAACUCGGGUGAAGGAACUAGGCAAAAUGGUGCCGUAACUUCGGGAGAAGGCACGCUGGCGGUAAGUGAAGUCCCUUGCGGACGGAGCCGAAGCCAGUCGAAGAUACCAGCUGGCUGCAACUGUUUAUUAAAAACACAGCACUGUGCAAACACGAAAGUGGACGUAUACGGUGUGACGCCUGCCCGGUGCUGGAAGGUUAAUUGAUGGGGUUAUCCUUAGGGAGAAGCUCUUGAUCGAAGCCCCAGUAAACGGCGGCCGUAACUAUAACGGUCCUAAGGUAGCGAAAUUCCUUGUCGGGUAAGUUCCGACCUGCACGAAUGGCGUAAUGAUGGCCAGGCUGUCUCCACCCGAGACUCAGUGAAAUUGAACUCGCUGUGAAGAUGCAGUGUACCCGCGGCAAGACGGAAAGACCCCGUGAACCUUUACUAUAGCUUGACACUGAACAUUGAGCCUUGAUGUGUAGGAUAGGUGGGAGACUAUGAAGUGUGGACGCCAGUCUGCAUGGAGUCAACCUUGAAAUACCACCCUUUAACGUUUGAUGUUCUAACCUAGGCCCAUAAUCUGGGUCGGGGACCGUGUCUGGUGGGUAGUUUGACUGGGGCGGUCUCCUCCUAAAGAGUAACGGAGGAGCACGAAGGUUGGCUAAGCAUGGUCGGACAUCAUGCGGUUAGUGCAAAGGCAUAAGCCAGCUUGACUGUGAGAGUGACGGCUCGAGCAGGUACGAAAGUAGGUCUUAGUGAUCCGGUGGUUCUGAAUGGAAGGGCCAUCGCUCAACGGAUAAAAGGUACUCCGGGGAUAACAGGCUGAUACCGCCCAAGAGUUCAUAUCGACGGCGGUGUUUGGCACCUCGAUGUCGGCUCAUCACAUCCUGGGGCUGAAGUAGGUCCCAAGGGUAUGGCUGUUCGCCAUUUAAAGUGGUACGCGAGCUGGGUUUAGAACGUCGUGAGACAGUUCGGUCCCUAUCUGCCGUGGGCGUUGGAAGAUUGAGAGGGGUUGCUCCUAGUACGAGAGGACCGGAGUGAACGCACCACUGGUGUUCGGGUUGUCAUGCCAAUGGCAUUGCCCGGUAGCUAAGUGCGGAAGAGAUAACCGCUGAAAGCAUCUAAGCGGGAAACUUGCCUCGAGAUGAGUCUUCCCUGUCACCUAGAGUGACCUAAAGGAACGUUUAAGACUAAGACGUUGAUAGGCUGGGUGUGUAAGCGUAGCGAUACGUUGAGCUAACCAGUACUAAUGAACCGUGAGGCUUAACCUG
rnacentral:rRNA from 1 species